GCCGCCAUCUCUGCCCGUUUGGCGAAAUUGCCGACUCCCCGGAUGUUGCCGCCGCCGGUUGAAGCCUCUCCAGUCACCGCCAACCUUUGAUUCCCAUGAUUUCCGGUCUGGCCUCGCGGCUGCCCCUCCUUUGUCACGCCGAUCGCCAUUUUUGCCUGGGGUUGAGUGGCUCUCAUUUUCUGUCACUUCUCCCACCAUUUCGAGUAUCCCAAUCGCUUGAAACACGUUUCGUAUGUGUGCUUCGGUCUCUGGCAGUGGCUGCACCAGAGGUUUGACUUGUCCUACCGGUUUCCCGGUCGGCCGGUAGUUCCGGGGCGUUGAAGUCGAUCCCGAAGCGGCGGGCGAUUGGUCUGAGCGGCAAGCCCGUGUCCAAUUUCCCCAAAUGAUGAUACGGCAUUCCCGCCGUCAGCAUCUACAGUGGGUGGAGACGACGCCGGUGGCAUGAUUCGACGUCGAGCCGCCUCCUUCUUCACCCACCCGUAUGCUUCCUCCACUGAUGAGGUCGGUUCCUCCUUCAAGACGUCCUUUCAAAUUGAAUCGUACUCCUGAUUCAAUCCGGUCAAAAAUUUAAUCAAUUGUUUCUCAUUCGAGUGUGUUCGAAACUGAUCAAUUCCUUUAUCGCAGCAACUAAUCGGCUGCUUUUGGCUUCUGUCGAUGUUGAUCCAAAACCAGUGGAUCCUCCGGUAAUAAGUUUCCAGAUCGAGGUUUCCCUGUUUGAUGUUUAUUGCCUUCUCUUCUAGAUCGUAGAUAUGAUAUUUUUCAGCCCUGUUCUCGAACGUUACAUCGAGGUUGUCCCAUAGUGAUUUCGAUGUCAGAUGAUGGGCAAAAUCAGCGAUAAUCUCAUCCUCGAUGUUUUCUACGAUCCAAGAAAACACCACCAAGUCGUCUUCUUCCCAAUCGUCGUAUCCUUUGCUUCCCGGUUAUGGAGGGUUAUUUCUAAUUUGCGAAUAGGCACCUCGCCCUCCGAUCUUGACUUUCAUAAGUCUUGACCAUAGUGGGUUCUGGUUUUCUGAUUUGGUUCUGGGCUAAAACAGGUCGAGAAAGGUAUAAUCGGCUAUGAUGAAGUAUUCUCUGAGCCAAAAAACGUUCUUGCUCAUGAUACCAUGAUAAACUGAUCGGUAAAGGAGGCUGUAUUAUUCAUUGAUAUGUGACUUUGUACAUUAGGCACUAUUAUAUAGGCUUAGGAAAAACUAUACAAGGAAAACCUAAUUACCAU